CGGACGGGUGAGUAAUGUCUGGGAAACUGCCUGAUGGAGGGGGAUAACUACUGGAAACGGUAGCUAAUACCGCAUAACGUCGCAAGACCAAAGAGGGGGACCUUCGGGCCUCUUGCCAUCAGAUGUGCCUAGAUGGGAUUAGCUAGUAGGUGGGGUAACGGCUCACCUAGGCGACGAUCCCUAGCUGGUCUGAGAGGAUGACCAGCCACACUGGAACUGAGACACGGUCCAGACUCCUACGGGAGGCAGCAUG
rnacentral:rRNA from 1 species